AUCCAGCUGACGAGUCCCAGAUUGAACAAAACGCGCGUCCUGGAU
rfam:Schistosoma margrebowiei strain Zambia genome assembly, scaffold: SMRZ_contig0003475